rnacentral:lncRNA from 1 species
CUAAUUUCGAAUUCCAGGCAUCCGCACAUCCCAGGGAGAACGCGCCUUCCAGCCUCCAGCGAAGUGACGCGCGGAUCUGGGCCAGAACUCUCCAGAGCUGCGCCGCAGACAGCGAAAACCAGAGGUGGUUACAGUUAAGUUUAGGGACUGCAGGAGCGAAUUCCCGAAGGCUUGCAGGAGCCGCCCGGCUCUGCCACCAGCCUUUCUCUCUGGGCCUAGCGGGACUCUCCCAGGCACGCCCCUCCCUGCCCGCGGGCGCACUUUCCCCGCCUGCAUCUGAGGCGUGGCGCAGCUGGGAGCAAAGCACAGUUGUCUUGGGGGCAGCGCCAGCCACCAGAGCCCGAGUCAGCGUGGCCAGGACUCUGCAGGGGCGGGUAGCGACCCUUAGAGACGCAACCUGGCGCAGCGGACUCGGCUGCAUGGGGCAUGGGCCGGGGCCGUUAUCCCGGAUCCUAUCUUUGGUACCAGUGUGACCCAUCCUGAGUGAAGGGCUGUGCACAAAGUAGAACUUUCAGGCCAGUAACUGGACCAUGGGUUCCAAGAAUUGCCAGCUGAGAAGCAUUGUCCUGGUGCAACAUCCAUGACCUGUCAGUGCCACUCCAACACGGAAAA